rnacentral:rRNA from 1 species
GACGAACGCUGGCGGCGUGCUUAACACAUGCAAGUCGAACGGAAAGGCCCUGCUUUUGUGGGGUGCUCGAGUGGCGAACGGGUGAGUAACACGUGAGUAACCUGCCCUUGACUUUGGGAUAACUUCAGGAAACUGGGGCUAAUACCGGAUAGGAGCUCCUGCUGCAUGGUGGGGGUUGGAAAGUUUCGGCGGUUGGGGAUGGACUCGCGGCUUAUCAGCUUGUUGGUGGGGUAGUGGCUUACCAAGGCUUUGACGGGUAGCCGGCCUGAGAGGGUGACCGGCCACAUUGGGACUGAGAUACGGCCCAGACUCCUACGGGAGACAGCAGUGGGGAAUAUUGCACAAUGGGCGGAAGCCUGAUGCAGCAACGCCGCGUGCGGGAUAACGGCCUUCGGGUUGUAAACCGCUUUCGCCUGUGACGAAGCGUGAGUGACGGUAAUGGGUAAAGAAGCACCGGCUAACUACGUG